rnacentral:rRNA from 14 species
CUAGCUGGUCUGAUAGGAUGAUCAGCCACACUGGAACUGAGACACGGUCCAGACUCCUACGGGAGGCAGCAGUGGGGAAUAUUGCACAAUGGGGGGAACCCUGAUGCAGCCAUGCCGCGUGUGUGAAGAAGGCUUUCGGGUUGUAAAGCACUUUCAGUUGUGAGGAAAGGUUGGUAGUUAAUACCUGCCAGCUGUGACGUUAACAACAGAAGAAGCACCGGCUAACUCCGUGCCAGCAGCCGCGGUAAUACGGAGGGUGCGAGCGUUAAUCGGAAUUACUGGGCGUAAAGCGCACGUAGGCGGAUCAGAAAGUUGGGGGUGAAAUCCCGGGGCUCAACCCCGGAACUGCCUCCAAAACUCCUGGUCUUGAGUUCGAGAGAGGUGAGUGGAAUUCCGAGUGUAGAGGUGAAAUUCGUAGAUAUUCGGAGGAACACCAGUGGCGAAGGCGGCUCACUGGCUCGAUACUGACGCUGAGGUGCGAAAGUGUGGGGAGCAAACAGGAUUAGAUACCCUGGUAGUCCACGCUGUAAACGAUGUCUACUAGCCGUCGGGGUCCUUAGUGACUUUGGUGGCGCAGCUAACGCGAUAAGUAGACCGCCUGGGGAGUACGGCCGCAAGGUUAAAACUCAAAUGAAUUGACGGGGGCCCGCACAAGCGGUGGAGCAUGUGGUUUAAUUCGAUGCAACGCGAAGAACCUUACCUACACUUGACAUGCAGAGAACUUUCCAGAGAUGGAUUGGUGCCUUCGGGAACUCUGACACAGGUGCUGCAUGGCUGUCGUCAGCUCGUGUCGUG